UUCUUCUAGAGGGAUCAUCUAGAAAGCAAGUCGUUUUGAAUUGAAUAUUUUCAAACAAAAAGCUGACAUAGAUGUUAUGGGUAUACUUUUUUUUAGAUGGGUAUCAUUUUUUUAUAAGUGGGUUUACAUCUUAAAUCUAGCAAUUUAUCCAUUUUCCA